AAUGGGAUAGCUGGGUCAAAUGAUGGCUCCAUUACCAGUUUUUUGAGGAAUCUCCAUACUGCUUUCCAUAGUGGUUGCACCAAUUUGCAGUCCCACCAGCAAU
rnacentral:pre_miRNA from 1 species